GUUAAAUUCAGUCACUUAAUUAAAGCAUUGUCUGGCGUGUUUUCUCACUGUAAAAAUUAUAUGUCAUUUUUAAGACUUUAUUUUUGGCCAGUAGGCAAAGAAACUGCAACCACAGGCUUCCAACACUAAGAUGCUCAACCGAAGAAGCCACGCUCUUAAGAGAGCAGGAAAAAACUGGUUUCGUUUUGAUUCUGUAGUUUCAGAAGAAGCCAUUAUUGAGCAUAAUAUUUUCCACGGAAGAAGUCCUCCUAAAAGAUAACAUCGUUUUAAUGAAAUAGAACUUUAGCAGCACCAAACCAGGAGACACAGUCUCACUGUCUUGCUCUGUCGUCCAGGCUGGACUGCAGUGGCGUGAUCUGGGCUCACGGCAACCUCCGCCUCCUGGGUUCAAGCAAUUCUCCUGCCUCAGCUUCCUGAGUAGCUGGGACUACAGGCCCAUGCCCCCAUGCCCUGGUAAUUUUUUGUAUUUUAGUAGGACAGGGUUUCACCAUGUUGCCCGGGCUGGUAUCGAACCCCUGAGCUCAGGCAAUCCGCCCACCUUGGCCUCCCAAAGUGUUGGGAUUACUGGCAUGAGCCACCGCACCCGGCCUACACUCUUUAUUUUAAAAAGUACAAUUAAGUUAUUAUUGACUAUGGGCACCAUGUUGUGCUAUCAAAUAGUAGGUCAUGUUUGUUCUUUCAAACUAUUUUUUGUAACAAUUAACCAUAUCCACCUACCCUUCCCAGACUCUGGUAACCAUCCUUCUACUCUCUAUGUCCAUGAGUUCAAUUGUUUUAAUUUUUAGGUCCUAUAAAUAAGUGAGAACAUGUGAUGCUUGUCUUUCUUUGUCUGGCUUAUUUCACUUAAAAUAGUGAUCUCCAGUUCCAUUCGUGUUGUUGCAAAUGACUGGAUCUCAUUCUUUUUUAUGGUCAAAUAGUACUCCAUUGUGUAUAUGUACCACAUUUUCUUGUGGAGAAAAAGGGAACCUUUAUACAUUACGUAUAGGGAACAUAAAUGUAAUGUUAUGUAAAUUAGUACUUUGCAUUUCCACUAAGAGUGUACAACUGACUGCAGAACAGUUUGAAGGUUCCUCAAAAAACUAAAAAUUGAGCUACCAUAUGAUCCUGCAAUUUCACUGCUGGGUAUAUACCCAAAAGAAAGGAAGUCAGUAUAUUGAAGAGAUAUCUGCACUCCUAUGUCUGUUGCAUCACUGUUUACAACAGUUAAGAUUUGGAAACAAUCCAGAUGUCCUUCACCAGAAUUUAUUUGGUAACAAUAUCAAUAGUGCUUUUGAAAGGAAGUUUUUCAAGAUUAAGG
rnacentral:lncRNA from 1 species